rnacentral:rRNA from 1 species
CUUAUGAUUUCUACACACGUGCUACAAUGGACAAUACAAAGGGCAGCGAAACCGGAGGUCAAGCAUGUUCUCAGUUCGGUUGUAGUCUGACUCGACUAUUGAAGCUGGAAUCGCUAGUAUCGUAGAUCACUGCUAGGUGAAUACGUUCCCGGGCUUGUAACACCGCCCGUCACACCACGAGAGUUUUGUAACACCGAAGCCGGUGGAGUAACCAUUUGGAGCAGGUGGGACAAAUGAUUGGGGUGAAGUCGUAACAAGGUAUCGGAAGGUGCGGCUGGAUCACCUCC